rnacentral:rRNA from 1 species
CAGUCGCCGCGGGAAUACGUAGGGUGCGAGCGUUAAUCGGAAUUACUGGGCGUAAAGCGUGCGCAGGCGGUUGUGUAAGACAGGUGUGAAAUCCCCGGGCUUAACCUGGGAACUGCGCUUGUGACUGCACAGCUAGAGUAUGGCAGAGGGGGGUGGAAUUCCACGUGUAGCAGUGAAAUGCGUAGAGAUGUGGAGGAACACCGAUGGCGAAGGCAGCCCCCUGGGCCAAUACUGACGCUCAUGCACGAAAGCGUGGGGAGCAAACAGGAUUAGAGACCCCUGUAGUCCCUGUCUCUUAUAC